rnacentral:rRNA from 1 species
AUACGUAGGUGACAAGCGUUAUCCGGAUUUACUGGGCGUAAAGGGCGUGUAGGCGGUCUUGCAAGUCAGAAGUGAAAUUCCUGAGCUCAACUCGGGCGCUGCUUCUGAAACUGCAGGACUUGAGUGCUGGAGGGGAUAGCGGAAUUCCUAGUGGAGCGGCAAAAUGCGCAGAUAUUAGGAAGAACACCGGUGGCGAAGGCGGUUACCUGGACAGUACCUGAGUCUGAGCCGCCAAAGCGUGGUGAGCAGACAGGAUUAGUUACCCGGGUAGUCCACGCCGUAAACGAUGAAUACUAGGUGUAGGGUUUAUCGACUCCCUCUGUGCCGCAGUUAACACAAUAAGUAUUCCGCCUGGGGAGUACGGCCGCAAGGUUGAAACUCAAAUGAAUUGGCGGGG